UUGCAGUUAAAAAGCUCGUAGUUGGAUUUUGGGCUUGUUCAGCCGGUCGCGCCGCAAGGCGUGUCGUGGGAUGUAGCGGGGGCAACCCCGUGAAGUCUCCACUGGGUGGGCUUGCCUCUAUCGGGGGGGUCAUUUCGGUGGCCUUCUCUUCUCUUCUAAAGACCCUGUGUGCUCUUAACCGGGCGUGCUGGGGAUUUAGGACUUUUACUUUGAAAAAAUUAGAGUGUUCAAAGCAGGCUUAUUUUCGCUUAAAUACAUCAUGGAAUAAUGAAAUAGGACUUUGGUACUAUUUUGUUGGCUUCUAGGACCGAAGUAAUGAUUAAUAGGGAUAGUUGGGGUGGUUAGUAUUUAAUUGUCAGAGGUGAAAUUCUUGGAUUUAUGAAAGACUAACUUCUGCGAAAGCAUUCCACAAGGAUGUUUUCAUUAAUCAAGAACGAAAGUUAGGGGAUCGAAGAUGAUCAGAUACCGUCGUAGUCUUAACCAUAAACUAUGCCGACUAGGGAUCGGUGGAUGUUAUUUUUUCAUGACUCCAUCGGCACCUUACUGAGAAAUCACAAGUCUUUGGGUUCCGGGGGGAGUAUGGUCGCAAGGCUGAAACUUAAAGGAAUUGACGGAAGGGCACCACCAGGAGUGGAGCCUGCGGCUUAAUUUGACUCAACACGGGGAAACUCACCAGGUCCAGACAUGGUAAGGAUUGACAGAUUGAGAGCUCUUUCUUGAUUCUAUGGGUGGUGGUGCAUGGCCGUUCUUAGUUGGUGGAGCGAUCUGUCUGGUUAAUUCCGAUAACGAACGAGACCUUAACCUGCUAAAUAGUUACGCGAACUCAACCCCAUUCCCUUUCGGGGGGGUGGGGUGGUUCUGCGGUCAACUUCUUAGAGGGACUGUCGGUGUUUAACCGACGGAAGUUUGAGGCAAUAACAGGUCUGUGAUGCCCUUAGAUGUCCUGGGCCGCACGCGCGCUACACUGAUGAAGUCAGCGAGUUUAUAACCUUGUUCGGAAGGACAUUUUCUUCGGGGUAAUCUUCUGAAACUUCAUCGUGCUGGGGAUAGAUCAUUGCAAUUAUUGAUCUUCAACGAGGAAUUCCUAGUAAGCGCGAGUCAUCAGCUCGCGUUGAUUACGUCCCUGCCCUUUGUACACACCGCCCGUCGCUACUACCGAUUGAAUGGUUUAGUGAGAUCUUUGGACUAACGCAACGCAGCUGUCUGACAGCAGCGAUGUGUCGGGAAGCUGAUCAAACUUGAUCAUUUAGAGGAAGUAAAAGUC
rnacentral:rRNA from 1 species